rfam:Chlorocebus sabaeus isolate 1994-021 chromosome 7, whole genome shotgun sequence.
UAUUGGGUUGGUGCAAAAGUAAUUGGGGUCUUUGUCAUUACUUUUAAUGGCAAAGACCCCAGUUACUUUUGCACCAACCUAAUA